CCUACGGGAGGCUGCAGUGAGGCAUAUUGGUCAAUGGGCGGGAGCCUGAACCAGCCAAGUCGCGUGAGGGACGACGGUCCUAUGGAUUGUACACCUCUUUUGUCGGGGAACACAGGAGCCCACGGGUGGGCGGAUGAGUGUACCCGAAGAACAAGCAUCGGCUAACUCCGUGACAGCAGCCGCGGUAAUACGGGUGAUGCGAGCGUUAUCCGGAUCUAUUGGGUUUAAAGGGUGCGUAGGCGGACGGUCAAGUCAGCGGUAAAAAUGCGGUGCUCAACGCCGUACAGCCGUUGAAACUGGCAGUCUUGAGUGGGCGAGAAGUAUGCGGAAUGCGUGGUGUAGCGGUGAAAUGCAUAGAUAUCACGCAGAACUCCGAUUGCGAAGGCAGCAUACCGGCGCCCUACUGACGCUGAGGCACGAAAGCGUGGGUAUCGAACAGGAUUAGAGACCCGAGUAGUC
rnacentral:rRNA from 1 species